rnacentral:rRNA from 1 species
GGGUGACUGCGUACCUUUUGUAUAAUGGGUCAGCGACUUAUAUUUUGUAGCGAGGUUAACCGAAUAGGGGAGCCGAAGGGAAACCGAGUCUUAACUGGGCGUCUAGUUGCAAGGUAUAGACCCGAAACCCGGUGAUCUAGCCAUGGGCAGGUUGAAGGUUGGGUAACACUAACUGGAGGACCGAACCGACUAAUGUUGAAAAAUUAGCGGAUGACUUGUGGCUGGGGGUGAAAGGCCAAUCAAACCGGGAGAUAGCUGGUUCUCCCCGAAAUCUAUUUAGGUAGAGCCUUGAGGUGACACCUUUGGGGGUAGAGCACUGUUUCGGCUAGGGGUCCAUCCCGGAUUACCAACCCGAUGCAAACUACGAAUACCAAAGAGUGAUACUCAGGAGACACACGGCGGGUGCUAACGUCCGUCGUGGAGAGGGAAACAACCCAGACCGCCAGCUAAGGUCCCCAAGUCUAUAUUAAGUGGGAAACGAAGUGGGAAGGCUUAGACAGCUAGGAUGUUGGCUUAGAAGCAGCCAUCAUUUAAAGAAAGCGUAAUAGCUCACUAGUCGAGUCGGCCUGCGCGGAAGAUGUAACGGGGCUGAAAUAUAGCACCGAAGCUGCGGCAUCAGGCGUAUCACUAAUACGCCUUACGAUUAACAAGCUAGAAUGGCGCGAAGCGGCAUGAAAGGUUGUUCAAGCAACCCGAACGUUGAGUCGGGGUAUUUUUGAAGUAAGGAUUAUUAGUGAUACGCCUGUUGGGUAGGGGAGCGUUGUGUAAGCGGAUGAAGGUUAAUCGAGAGGUUAGCUGGACGUAUCACAAGUGCGAAUGCUGACAUAAGUAACGAUAAAACGGGUGAAAAACCCGUUCGCCGGAAGACCAAGGGUUCCUGUCCAACGUUAAUCGGGGCAGGGUGAGUCGGCUCCUAAGGCGAGGCUGAAAAGCGUAGUCGAUGGGAAACAGGUUAAUAUUCCUGUACUUGGUAAAGCUGCGAUGUGGGGACGGAGUAGGUUAGGUUAUCGCACUGUUGGAUAUGUGCGUUUAAGUUGGUAGGUGGGAAGUUUAGGCAAAUCCGGACUUCCUUAACACAGAGAGAUGAUGACGAGGCUCUACGGAGCUGAAGUAACUGAUACCACACUUCCAGGAAAAGCCACUAAGCGAAAGGCUUUACUAAACCGUACUGAAAACCGACACAGGUGGUCAGGUAGAGAAUACUCAGGCGCUUGAGAGAACUCGGGUGAAGGAACUAGGCAAAAUAGCACCGUAACUUCGGGAGAAGGUGCGCCGGCGUAGAUUGUAGUCCCUAGCGGGCGAAGGUUGAACCGGUCGAAGAUACCAGCUGGCUGCAACUGUUUAUUAAAAACACAGCACUCUGCAAACACGAAAGUGGACGUAUAGGGUGUGAUGCCUGCCCGGUGCUGGAAGGUUAAUUGAUGGUGUCAUCGAAAGAGAAGCACCUGAUCGAAGCCCCAGUAAACGGCGGCCGUAACUAUAACGGUCCUAAGGUAGCGAAAUUCCUUGUCGGGUAAGUUCCGACCUGCACGAAUGGCAUAAUGAUGGCCAGGCUGUCUCCACCCGAGACUCAGUGAAAUUGAAAUCGCCGUGAAGAUGCGGUGUACCCGCGGCUAGACGGAAAGACCCCGUGAACCUUUACUAUAGCUUGACACUGAACAUUGAAUUUUGAUGUGUAGGAUAGGUGGGAG